AAAAAAACAAGUCCUACAUUUUCGUGUCCAACGUUUGACCAUCCGUCUUAUUUGAAAAAAUUAUAAAAAAAAUUAAAAAGACAAGUCACGCAUAAAGUAUUAAUCAUGUUUUAUUAUCUAACAACAAUGAAAACAUUAAUUAUAAAACAAUUUCAUAUAAGACGGACAGUCAAACGUUGGACACGAAAACUCAGGGUUUGUCUUUUU
rfam:Oryza glumipatula chromosome 4, whole genome shotgun sequence.